rnacentral:rRNA from 1 species
CACGUAGGCGGACUGAUAAGUCAGGGGUGAAAUCCCGGGGCUCAACCCCGGAACUGCCUUUGAUACUGUCAGUCUUGAGUCCGAGAGAGGUGAGUGGAACUCCGAGUGUAGAGGUGAAAUUCGUAGAUAUUCGGAAGAACACCAGUGGCGAAGGCGGCUCACUGGCUCGGUACUGACGCUGAGGUGCGAAAGCGUGGGGAGCAAACA